AUUCAAUUUUAAAAAUAAAAAAUAAGACACUCACAAAUCCUCUCAAACCUCUCAAAGCACCCCAAAUCCGGCCAUUGCCACCGCCGACGAACGGCCCCGCCACCGCCGUGGUCUGUGGCCGAUGACGAAAGAUGGGUUUUUUAGCCCCUUUUAAAGGCCGGUGGUCAGUGACCGGCGACGAGAGGCUGAAAGAGAAAAAUCUAGCCCCCUUUUAAGUCUGAUUCCGACGACGGGAAAAGGACUUCCGACGACCUGACUUGCGGGGCGAUUCCAGGUGCCAGAUGCAGUGGCAGAGGAGGUGUGUGGCGCGGGUCAGAGGCAGUGCAGGCAUGGCAGAGGGAGUCAGACGCAUGGGGGAAGAGGUGGCGUGCGGCAGCAGCAAAGCUUAAGGUGGCUAGGGUUAGAUUUGGCUGAAAACUUGAGUUUAGGUUGUGGGCCACUUGGGCCACUUGGGCCACUAGGUUUUUUUAUUGGGCUGUUAAUUUUUUUAUAUUUUUGGUUUGUUUUGCUAGUAUGGGUCGGGGGCUAAAAUUGGGCCUUACACCUCCUUCUUGCUACUUGAUUUUCUUUUCUACUUCAACGAAUUAUUCAACGGAAUCAUCUAUAUAUUAUAUCGUUUAAAUAUUAUAUUA